UACGUAGGGGGCAAGCGUUGUCCGGAUUUACUGGGCGUAAAGAGCGUGUAGGCGGCCAAACAGGUCCGUUGUGAAAACUGGAGGCUCAACCUCCAGACGUCGACGGAAACCGUGUGGCUAGAGUCCGGAAGAGGAGAGUGGAAUUCCUGGUGUAGCGGUGAAAUGCGCAGAUAUCAGGAAGAACACCAAUGGCGAAGGCAGCUCUCUGGGACGGUACUGA
rnacentral:rRNA from 1 species